CUGCACCUCCAACUACCACAACUGCAGCUCCAACUACCACAACUGCAGCUCCAGCUACCACAACUGCACCUCCAACUACCACAACUGCAGCCCCCACUACAACAACUGCAGCUCCAACUACCACAACUGCAGCUCCAACUACCACAACUGCACCUCCAACUACUACAACUGCAGCCCCCACUACAACAACUGCAGCUCCAACUACCACAACUGCACCUCCAACUACCACAACUGCAGCCCCCACUACAACAACUGCAGCUCCAACUACCACAACUGCACCUCCAACUACUACAACUGCAGCUCCAACUACCACGACUGCAGCUCCAACUACCACAACUGCAGCUCCAACUACCACAACUGCACCUCCAACUACCACAACUGCACCUCCAACUACCCCAAAACCACAAGGCUUGGCACAUCUCCAGUUAAGAGUACGUACCUUUGGAGAAGUCAGCAAUGAAAACCUCAUCGCUUUUGUAACACAGUUUUUGAAUCAGAAUGGAUUGAAUCAGGUAAAGAUUGAAAGCCUCCGAGUUGUGGGCAUGUGAACAGAAAAAGUCAAAAAAACCUUUGACCAGAGCUGAAGGAGGAUGUGGAGCUCCCACUUCAUAAAUCUGUCAUCACAUCUGUACUGCUGUUCUCUCCUUCUCCCUCUUCCUCUUCCUGGACACACGUAAAGCCCAGGGCCUUGAGCAUGGCUCUAC